UGACAUGAUCAAUGUAUAUAUGAUAGACAUACGGAUGUCUACCUAGUAUACUCCAGUGUGUCCAAUCUUUAUAGUCUGUUAUAGGUUACUUGGGCACUGAUAAAAUUUUAAAAAAAGACUGAAAAUGAAAUAAAUGCACAGAUAAAAUCCUGGUAAAUAAAUUGAUCCCAAAGUCAAAUAUAUUUGUAAGGAUUUAGAAUUUAUGAAAAU
rnacentral:misc_RNA from 1 species